CCACCCCUGUGCCUCCCGGUUGGGAUGGUGUUCUUCGGCUUGCGAGUCUCCCCAUUUUUCCUCCAAACAGUUCAAGUUUUGUUUCAUCGGACCAGAGGACGUUUCUCCAAAAAGUAUGAUCUUUGUCCCCAUGUGCAGUUGCAAACCGUAGUCUGGCUUUUUUAUGGAGGUUUUGGAGCAGUGGCUUCUUCGUUGCUGAGCGACCUUUCAGGUUAUGUUGAUAUAGGACUCGUUUUACUGUGGAUAUAGAUACUUUUGUACCUGUUUCCUCCAGCAUCUUCACAAGGUCCUUUGCUGUUGUUCUGGGAUUGAUUUGCACUUUUCGCACCAAAGUACAUUAAUCUCUAGGAGACAGAAAUAAUCUGUCUGUAAACAAUUGUUGGAAAAAUGACUUGUGUCAUGCCCAAAGUAGAUGUCCUAACUGACUUGCCAAAAUAUAUAGUUUGUUGACAAGAAAUUUGUGGAGUGGUUGAAAAACGAGUUUUAAUGACACUUAUGUUAGAGUAUGUAAACUUCCGACUUCAACUGUACAUGUGUAAAUAUUGUGCUGUCAUCUGUGCCUUCCAUUAUUAUACUGUACUUAUAAGAUGUUUAUUAUUUUCUACUGAGCCAUUUACUUUUUUAGCAUUUCAUUUCUUAUUGUUGCAUCGUCAAGAAGGAACCUGCAAGUCUGUAAGUGUUUAGUUUGGACGGUGCAUGGGUAUGCUGUACAUCCCAUGAAUACAUCUGUAAGUGUUUAGUUUGGACGGUGCAUGGGUAUGCUGUACAUCCCAUGAAUACAUCUGUGUUUAGUUUGGACGGUGCAUGGGUAUCCUGUACAUCCCAUGAAUACAUCAGUAAGUGUUUAGUUUGGACGGUGCAUGGGUAUCCUGCUGUAGGUCAUGUAACUGUUAGAUGCAAUAUGUUUUGUGGACUCCACUGGACAGAUGUUGCUCUCCGGUUUUGUGAUGAAACAAAAGUGUGGUGGAAUUUAUUCUACCAUUGUGUCUUCUUAUUGUUUUGGCCUAUAUAUCACAGCGGCAUAUUAACUAAAAGGUUAUAGAGCAAACAACGCAAUUAUCAUAACACAUACAGAUGUGCUAAAAUUGGUUGGUACCCAUCCACAAAAAACAAAGAAUGCACAAUUUUCUCUGAAAUAACUUGAAACUGACAAGUCAUUGGCGUCCACUAUUGUUUCUUCCAUAUUUAAUAGAAAUCAGACUUUGCUUUUAGAUUUUUAUUCAACAUUAUUUUGUAAAUAAUAAAACAAAUGAAAAUGGCAUGGACAAAAAUGACGGGAACCUUAAUUAACCUGAUAUGUUGUUGCACAACCUUUAGAGGCAGUCACUGAAAUCAAAUGUUUUCUGUAGUUCUCAAUGAGACGUCUGCACCUGUUAACAGGUCGUUUGGCCCACUGUUCCGGAGCAAACUGCUCCAGCUGUCUAAGGAUUGAUGGGUUCCUUCUCCAGACUGCAGGCUUCAGCUCUUUCCAUAGAUCUUCGAUAGGAUUCUGAUCAGGACUCACAGAAGUCCACUCCAGAAUAGUCCAAUGUUCUGUUCUUAUCCAUUCUUGGGUGAUUUUAGGUGUGUGUUUUGUGGUCAUUAUCCUGUUGGAGGACCCAUGACCUGCGACUGAGACAGAGCUUUCUGACACUGGGCAGUACGCUUUGCUCCAGAAUGCCUUGAUAGCCUUGAGAUUCCAUUGUGCCCUGCACAGAUUCAAGACACCCUGUGCCAGGCGCAGCAAAGCAGCCCCAAAACAUAACCAAGCCUCCUCCAUGUUUCAAUGUAGGUAUGGUGUUCUUCUCUUUGAAAGCUUCAUUUUCAACUGUGAACAAUAAGCUGAUGUGACUUGCCAAAAAGCUCCAGUUUUGACUCAUCUGUCCAAAUGACAUUCUCCCAGAAGGAUUGUGGCUUGUCGCUAUGCAUUUGAACAAGCUCCAGUCUGGCUUUUUUAUGUUUUUCUUUCAAAAGUGGAGUCCUUCUUCCAUGGAGCCCACUUUUGCUCAGAAAGCGGCGGAUGGUGCGAUCAGAAACUGACGUACCUUCACCUUGGAGUUCAGCUUGUAUCUCUUUGGCAGUUGUCCUUGUUUUUUUCUACCGUUCACACACUCCUUCUGUUCAAUCUGGGGUCCAUUUUCCUUGUGCGGCCGCGCCCAGGGAGUUUGGCUACAGUUCCAUGAACCUUAAACUUGUUAAUAAUAUUUGCAACUGUUGUCACAGGAACAUCAAGCUGCUUGGAGAUGGUCU
rnacentral:lncRNA from 13 species